AUCCUUAGCUGGUCUGAGAGGAUGAUCAGCCACACUGGGCCUGAGACACGGCCCAGACUCCUACGGGAGGCAGCAGUGGGGAAUAUUGGACAAUGGGCGAAAGCCUGAUCCAGCAAUGCCGCGUGAGUGAUGAAGGCCUUAGGGUUGUAAAGCUCUUUUACCCGGGAUGAUAAUGACAGUACCGGGAGAAUAAGCUCCGGCUAACUCCGUGCCAGCAGCCGCGGUAAUACGGAGGGAGCUAGCGUUGUUCGGAAUUACUGGGCGUAAAGCGCACGUAGGCGGCUUUGUAAGUUAGAGGUGAAAGCCUGGAGCUCAACUCCAGAAUUGCCUUUAAGACUGCAUCGCUUGAAUCCAGGAGAGGUGAGUGGAAUUCCGAGUGUAGAGGUGAAAUUCGUAGAUAUUCGGAAGAACACCAGUGGCGAAGGCGGCUCACUGGACUGGUAUUGACGCUGAGGUGCGAAAGCGUGGGGAGCAAA
rnacentral:rRNA from 1 species